rnacentral:lncRNA from 1 species
UUUCUGUGUAACAAAUAACCCCUAGAACUUAGACCCUAAAAUAACAAACACGAUGUCAUAGUUUAUUUGGGUGAGGAAUCUGAGUGUGACUUUCCUUGGUCCUCUUGUUCGGGGUCUCACAGGCUGCAAUCAAGGUAUCAGCCAGGACUGCAGUCAGCUCAAGCUUAAGCAGGGAGGAUUAGCUUCCAAGCUCACUCAUGCAUUUGUUGGCAAGAUUCCAUUUCGGGUUGUUGGAACAAAGGCCUCGAAUCCUUGCUGGCUGUCCUAGUUCUUUGCAGCAUGUACCUCUCCAUAGGGCAGGAAACACAUGGCAGCUGGGUUCAGCACAGCAAGCAAGAGAGAAUGUGUAAGAAAAUGCUAGCAAGAUGAGAGCCAUGGUGUUUUGGUAACCUAGUCGUAAUACCAGCAUUUUUAAUAUUACCGCUGGAAGGCUUAGAAGUGUGUCUUUGCAAUGACAAAAUACAUUGAGAAGCAAUUUACAUCCUAAAUAAUUGUGGCUGAAUGAAAAUGGAGAUUGACAAAAAGAUCUUAUCAGUUUUUCUGUUUUGGAAGUUGAGGAAGACGUGUUAUAUUCCUAUAUUAGAAGAUCUAUUUAUGCUGAUUAAUAUGAGCCAGAAGAGAAAAGGGAUGGAUGAUGCAGAAGACACAUAGAGAUCUGAUAAAGUGAAAAUUCUUACAGUGGCAAAAAGAUGGGUUUCAGUAUGCUUUUGUACAUUAGGGAACUCAUUUUCCUCUGGGUGGUUAAAAGAUUGCCAAGGAGAAUUUUAGCAUCGACAGUUUUAAAGGAAUCAAUUUUCAGCAACUCAAUUUUCAUGUGAACUUUUCUAAAGCGAUGUCGCUGAAAAAUUUAUCUAUACUCAGGAUACACUUUUUUGUUCCCAAAAGAAUGGCAUCAUUCAAAAUCUUAAUGUAGUGCAUUAUCCUGUGGUGGAUUACUUCUGGAGUAACAAAUAGCAAGGCUAUCUAACGAUAAUUCAAUAUUUCAGUCUAAAGUUUCUCAUUCUUCAUGUUCCAUCUACAUUUCUCUCUCUCUCUCUUUCUCUGUCUGUCUAUCUAUCUAUCUAUCUAUCUAUCUAUCUAUCUAUCUAAUCUAUCUAUCUACCAAUCUAUCUACCUUUCUAUCUAUCAUCUAUCUGAUCUAUCUCUAGUAAAGUGAAGCCUGGCAUUUAGAAAAGUGGCGUAUUCAUCCAUGUUGAGGUGUUGUGAGUUAAGAUAUAGGUAGGAAUAAAAUGGAAAACACUUUCCUUAAAUAUAUUUUAUAUUCUCCUACUAUUGAUUCCUUUACAACUAUUUCAAUUUAAGAAGAAAAAUGUCAGAUAGUGUGAUAUGAAUCAUGUUUGAGAAAUAUUUCCUUGAGAGUUUGACUAGUGCAACAAAAAAUAUCUGUAAGGGACAAUGAAUGUUAAAAAUGGUUUUAUUCCUGUGCUCGAGCAAAACCUACUCUUUUUAUGUAUUCUCAAUUUUCAGCCCUAGAAUGUGUUAUUAACUUGAAAGAAAAACUCUCCCAAAGAUCUAAAAGUUAUGCUGAUUUUUUAGAAAUAACUAAAGGUUUUCAAGACUACCAAAAUUUCAAGCUACAUGGGACAAUUACCAAUGUAUGGUGUGUGAGGGGAAGACUGUAGUAAGUUUAGAUGUCACUGAAUAUUUUUCACUAAGGGAUUUAAAGCAUUUUAUACUAUACAAAACAAUAAAAUGUCUAUUUUAUUUUCAGUGAAUUUAUUUUUCUUGGAAAAAUAUUUAUUAAAUUCUACCUCAUUAAGAAACAAAUAUCACAAGCAUUUAU